GUGCCAGCAGCGCGGUAAUACAGAGGGUGCGAGCGUUAAUCGGAAUUACUGGGCGUAAAGCGUGCGCAGGCGGUUUUGUAAGACAGAGGUGAAAUCCCCGGGCUCAACCUGGGAACUGCAUUGGUGACUGCAAGGCUAGAGUACGGCAGAGGGGGGUGGAAUUCCACGUGUAGCAGUGAAAUGCGUAGAUAUGCGGAGGAACACCGAUGGCGAAGGCAAUCCCCUGGGCCUGCACUGACGCUCAUGCACGAAAGCGUGGGGAGCAAACAGG
rnacentral:rRNA from 1 species